rnacentral:rRNA from 1 species
GACGAACGCUGGCGGCGUGCCUAAUACAUGCAAGUCGAACGCAGUGGGGACGGGGGAGUAACACGUGGGUAACCUCACAACAGAGGGGAUAACACUUGGAAACAGGUGCUAAACCGAUACUGAUGUAUGGACCCGCGGUUCAUUAGCUAGUUGGUGAGGUAACGGCUCACCAAGGCCACGAUGCAUAGACGCGCUGAGAGGGUGAUCGGGCAAACUGUGACUGAGACACGGCCCAGACUCCUACGGGAGGCAGCAGUAGGGCAUCUUGGGCAAUGGACGAAAGUCUGACCGAGCAACGCCGCGUGAGUGAAGAAGGUUUUCGGGUCGUAAAGCUCUGUUGUUAGAGAAGCGGUAUCUAACCAGAAAGCCACGGCUAACUACGUGCCAGCCGCCGCGGUAAUAC